UUUUCGAGAGGAUCAUGUGGCUUCGCCUCCGUCUUCCUCUCCCCUUCCACCCUCCGGAAUCCAAUCGCAAUCCUUCGGAUUGGGGUUAGGGUUCCGAGAACCCGCGGUUCGUCGUCGUCUUCUCGCCACGCAUCCGGCCGGAAGGUCCUCCGCGAGGUAAGCCGCUUCCCGGUGGUAGAAGGGCGUACCUCGACGGGCAGAAAUCUGUGAGGUUCUCCCUUGACCCGACCAAGGAGCUCAUUCCCAUCGAUCUUGUUUCAUGGAACCCUUCACUUAUCUGUGAUGGAUGAUCAACUUCUAGACACUAUAUGUGAGGUUUUUGUAUCCUCUUUAAGCACAGAAGGCGCCUGUAUUGUUCGAGAGGGUGACCCCGACACAAAUGCUUUUCAUCAACAUAUGACAGACUGAAGAGCUCUACUGCUAGUAGAGGUGGAACUGGUUUCUUCAAUUCUGUGAUGCACAGGCCUAGUGAUUUCUGUGGUAAGGAACUUCUUGAUUGGGCUCUUCUUCCAAAGGCCAUGGUGAACUUGCCUUCCUCUAAGAAUUGUAAGAACACUGGCUAAAGUUGAGGCCUUUGGAAAAGCUGAAAGCUGCAGGACUUUCCAUUUCUACUCUCAUCACUGGAGGACAUGGGCUGCCUGCUUCAUUCAGGCAGCUUGGCAUCGCUACAGGAGGAGAAAGAUGGCAAAGGAUUUGAGUAGGAGGGAAUCAUUUAACUCCCGGACGGAUGCGUCGAUGCUGAAAGAAGAUGAAGUCAACAUAAUUCCAGAGUACUUCUCACCCAAAACAAAAUCUUGUGUUCACAGUUCUACCUAGGUUAGCCUCACUUCUCCGUGGACACUUGUGAUUAGUUAUCAUCGAACCUGUUAUGAGGACACCUGCUUGCUUCUCACCAGAUUACAGUUGAAAGAGAAAUUCAGAUGAGCAAGGGUUUGUACUUGAUAAAAUAUGAUGUUGAGGAUGUAAAUCUUCAUCCAAACAAAUCUAUACGCAUGGCUACUCUGAUAAUGUGGUAUCAUCUUAACUGAGUACAAGUUAAGAUAGUUUCUAAACAGAAUGGCAUGCCUGCUGUACAAUCUAGAUGUAUUUAUCAGUGUAAUCUUGUUUAGGAUGAAAUCGUCACCA